UUACCAGACCGACACAAAAUCAAGGAAACUCGGGCCGGGCGUUGGGGUAGCCCGGCUCGACUGUGCCCCCGGGACUGGCAGGGGCCUCAGACCCAAAGGGGGAGUGGCAGCAGGCCACCGCCACGGGCUAACACCCGGGGGCGGCAGGAGCAGCCCUCAGCCCGUCCCUUCACCGCCGGGUGGCCUGUUUCCGAUUCCCACUCUCUGCGUACACCUCCACUGUUGCUUCCCCGGGGGAUCCAUCGCCCCCGGGGGAGGUCCGCGAGCGAAACGCGCCGCCAAACCAAGGAUGCAGCAACCAGCAAAGGAAGCUAAAGUGAAAAUGCAAAAACUUUCAACAACGGAUCUCUUGGUUCCCGCAUCGAUGAAGAACGCAGCGAAAUGCGAUAAGUAAUGUGAAUUGCAGAAUUCAGUGAAUCAUCGAAUCUUUGAACGCACAUUGCGCCCCCUGGCAUUCCGGGGGGCAUGCCUGUUCGAGCGUCUCUUUGACGAAAAACCUCGCGCCGAGUGAAGGCGCGGUGUUGGCGGCGGUGGCGUGCCCGAGCAGGCGGCCACCGCGCUGGAAUCGAUGGGCGGACGCCUGCCGCGUGGACGAGCGUGAUAAGACUCAUGUGCGCCCGCGCGCGGCGAGGCUGCCAGCCCUUUGCCCGUCAGUCAAGGCGGGGGGAGCAAGACUUCGGAACUCCUCGAAUCAGGUAGGGAUACCCGCUGAACUUAAGCAUAUCAA
rnacentral:rRNA from 1 species